GUUGGAUUGUGUCUUCAGCCUUUUCCUGAAAACAUCUCCUGUUUUAGGGUAAGAUUAUGGUCUCUUCCCAAUUGUAGAGCUGGGGGAGAGACUUCAAAACCUUCCAUCAGAUGCUGGGGAAGUAACAGGGUGCCAUCCUCUACGACUCAGGUGGGGUCCUUGAGGCGCAGUCUGUAGGGCCUCUUCCAGCGAGAACUGGGGCGUUCAGAGGACAGGAAAGAAUUUCCCAUAGGAGCGGGUGGCUGUGGGACCCGAUAAACAGCUGCCUUGGCUGCUAUGUCUGAUGCCCAGGAGCAUGGACACCUGCCACCUGAGAGGGCAGGAGGUGGCCUCAGGAGGCAAAGAGCUCCUUGGCGUGCCAACAGGAGUGUGCGGUGGUGAGCAAGCCCCACUCCCCCAGGCAGCAGCGUGAGCAUAGGUAUGAGACAGGCAUGUUUAGCUCCCUGUGCACUUCAACCCUCUUGUCUUUAGAAGACUCUAGGGCCAGGGGUUGGGGGGACAACCAAUUCUGGCACCUGCGCUCUGGCAUUAGCAGGAAGUGGCCCUGAUUCCACCUCAAAGUCUGUCCCUGCUGCGUACCCAGAUCUCCGAGUCCCAUCGAUCACUGAUGAACUCCCAGGGGUGGAUAGGGUGCGAUCUGACUAUCUACAGGAUGAUCAGGUACCUCUGGCCUGGCAGCGCAAGUGUCCACUAGAACUCCUCAGGGGAGUGGAGGGCCUUCCUCUACCUCAGGUAAGAAUGUGACUGCACCAAGGUCAUGACAAGCCUUUCAGGUCAUUUCAGGUCCUUCCAGCAGGGCCUGCUGCUGGAAAGUGCGGCUGUCUAUAGCCAGAGCUGCCCUUAGAGCUCAGGAUGCCUCCGAUGCCCUGGGAGGGCAGUACAGGAGGGGCCUCCCAGGGUGAGUUUAUGUGCCUCGGGCACCAAGAGCCCACUGCAGCCACGGCUCCAGGACACCUCGUCCAACUCCUUACUUAGGUACCCCACUGGCUGGGAGGGGCCCCCAGUGAUUAAGUGACAUUCCCCUUGCCACUCCGUCCCUUUCUGCCACACAGAAAAGUCGACUGGGCCGCCAGCCCAGAGCAGGGGCCUGGGUAAGCGCUGUCUUCCUGCCUCUGGAGUCCAACUAAGGACUGCAGUGAAUGUCCCUGCGCUCCCUUAAGGCACUCACAGACGGGCCUCACCUCUCAGCACAUCCAGGCAUCCAAUUCUACAAUGUCCUGUUGUCCUGGCCAGCCCCUGAGCUGCUUUACUGUCCAAGGAAGGGGAUGCAGGAGUGCGGGUGGGAUUCUUUCUGGGUCAAGCUUUUGAGUUUCCCCUUCCAGUAUCAUGUCCAAGUCAGACCUGGGUCUGCAAAACUGAGCGCCUCUGGGGAGACUUUAUAUCUCCAGGGCCAGGAAUUGGGAAGAGAGCCAGUGCCCUCAGAGAUCAUUCUUCUGAAUUCCACACAAAAGAAGGUCACCCUCAUACUGAAGGAACACUGUGUCCGGUAUGACCAGUCCAGGAGGCCUCGCACCAGGUCCUGCCUUACGGGUAGGGUCCUCAAAGGCAAAUAGAGAUGGGCUUUUGGACGUAAAGGACAGGUGUGGGAGGCAGUCCGACUGGUGGUCGUCACCUCCGGGGACAAUCCUUUUAGGAGUGGCCUUCUUUCCCUCAAGAGAAACAGGAGUGGAGGAGGCUCCACUCCUGUUAGAGGCCUGGAGAAAGAGAACAAGGAGGACAGCCCACUCACAGGCUGCCAUCUGUCCUCCCUGUCCUUUGUCCUCCUUGUCCUCCUAUCCCAGGCCUCUAUUAUGAAAGACCGCAGCAGCCUGGAACAAAGGUCCAAGGUUGUGUCUGGCUCCACAGCCCAUUUGCGCAGCUCCCUCCACAGGUCUGGAGAGGACUGGGUAAGAGUCUAUCUGUAGGAGUGACUUCCUCCUAUGGGACCCAGAGCUAGUGUGUUGGAAAUGGCCUCCCAGAGGAAGGUCACUGUGGCUCCUCUCCUCCUGGGAUCACAGUGGCCAGCGGGGCGUAAAUGGAAGGCUACCAUGGGCUCUCCUCAGCCCUCCUGAUACCCAGUGUAUACAGUGAUGACCGUCCCAGGUCCUCAACCCUCCUGACACCCAGUGUAUACAGCGACGUCUGUCCGCGUCCUCAGUCCUCCUGAUGCCAGUGUAUACAGCAAUGUCUGUCUGGUCCUCGGCCCUCCUGACACCCAGUAUAUACAGUGAUGUCCAUCUCUAGUCCUCAGCCCUCCUGACAUCCAGUGUAUACAGCAACAUCCGUCCCCAUCCUCAGUCCUCCUGAUGCCAGUGUAUACAGCGACAUCCGUCCUGGUCCUUGGCUCUCCUGACACCCAGUGUAUACAGUGACGUCCGGCCCAUUGUCUCUCUGUCAGUGUCCCAAUGUGGUUCAGGGUGGGGACUCCGGGCUCCUGCAGGGAGGUCCCACUCUUGCCAGCCAGGGUUGCUGUCCUCCUGCUGCAGCGUAGCCGUCUCUAAGACCUUGUGCUUUUCAAGGAAGGUAAAGUGUGACUCAGAGCAACAGGACACCUUCCUGCACAGUCAUAGAGACUGAUAACCGCUGGAAGGUGCUGGAAGGUUGGAAGGCGGCUCUGGUUCAGUGCAGUUCCUUAGGUCUUUCUUUAUGUCCUUGAAUUCAGCUAGUGAAAGGGGGACAUGUACCAUCUCAGGUCCAAACUCCCUGCCCCAGCAUCGCCCUAAGAGGAAACAACCCUGAGCAGCCAAUUUCCAAGCACCUCUGGGAUCAAGGGUGGAGUUGUCCCUGGAGGAGGGGGACUGGGCUCCAGUCCUUCUAAGUUGGGAUGUAAAGGGGAAGUCGUCUUAGGACCCAUCACCUUUCCUUCCGAUGGGGCCGAGGGGACUUCCUGUGCAGCUGGGCCCCUUUCUUCUGUACAAGUUUUCCUGUUCUGGGGUUUGGUGUCUGGCUCAGGGCAGCAGACUAGGGUCUGAGGGUCAGGCUUGCAGUCCUGCUAGCUCAGGACGAUGUCUUAGGUAAAGGAACAAGUGGACCAAGGAGCUUCAUCCAUUUACCCUCCUGCUACAGAAAAGGUCUCAUUGCUGAAUAGUUCUGUGAUUUAGGGUCCCCUCAGGGGGCCACUGUCCUCCAUCUCCUCUGGGUACUGGGGCCAGGCCUCGUGCAAAAGAUCAAAGGUUUUCUCUUUAACUGGAGCCCAAACUAUCCCAGUUCUAGAGCAGAUGGGAGAGCAGUGAGCUCGCAGGAUUUUGGAAGAAUGGGAUCCCAUUGUUACCGCUGUUGACCGGUGACGAGUCCUUGCUUCCCCAAUGUUGAAGAAUAACACCAGAAAAGCACACGCCGAGGCAAGGUCAGAGUAGAAAUUAGAAGUUUAUUAAAGGACAGCAGAAAAGACUUCUCCCCGAGGAAGAAGGGAACCCAAGAGGUGGAAUCCGUGGAAGUGCGGUUGUCUCUCCAUUUUAUAGUUUCUUUCAGUGAUGGAAUGUAGGUGGGAAGGCCCGAGGGCUGGGACACAGGUGGACCAAAGAAGUAGUCUGAGCAGGAAGGACUUCAUUAACACUUCUUUGGGAUGGACUUUGGCCUAGGGCCUUUUCAGGACUUCAUUAACAUUCCAUGAGUUGUCCUGCGUUUCCUGGAAUCAUUCUCAGCCUGGCCUCCAUUUUAGAUUUCACUCGGUAUUAGACCCGGAUUUAUCUAACUACACUGACUAAAUCUGGCUUCACCAUCUGGAAACAAAAAGAAAGAGGCCCUGAUGGGGGCCGUCCACCCCCACCUCACUCUGACAAGUCCACAGGGUAGACUGGCUUGCCCACGGGGGACGGUGUCCAGGUAGGGACCAGCCAAGCCUACCCCUGGCCUGCUGUCCACGUCCCCAGUAUUUCUUUUUAUAACCCAGAUCUUUCUGAUGCUUUCAUCCCAGAAAGCAUGAAAUUCCUGCCCUAAUCCUGCCAGAAAGGGGUUCAGAAUUCUCAGGAGCACAAGCAUCUGAGGGGAGGCUUUUGAGGGCCACAGCCGAGUUAGGAUGACACAUGGCAUUUUGCCAGAAGGGAGUGGUUGAGAGGUGAUGCCCGCAAGCCAUUGAGAUGAUGGUGGUUAUGUUAAGCUGUGUAUUCAGUUGUAUAUAGACCUUUGCUGUCGCCAAUAGGGCAGCUCUUGCUGCCUCAGGCACCUGCUAUUUUGGAGUUCCCCGUUGAGUUCUCCUGGGGGUCCGAGAGAGUGGGGGUGGAGCCCGGUGGAGAGGAGAGAGAGUUCCCGGGAAGUGUGCCUGGAGUGCUGGUGGAGUUCCGGCAAUAAAGUUUCCUGUUUGAACAUACGAGUGCUUUGUGGUGGCUCGGUGAUUUGUGCCCAGCCAGACUACGGCAUUUGGUGGCCCGUACGGGGUUUGAAUCCGCAACCUUGGCGUUAUCAGCACCAAGCUCUAACCAGCUGGCCUCCUCUAAAAAACCAUUACACUGGAGUCUGCGAUGAAGAGAGCCCCUGAACGGUAACUGGACAGCCCAGCCCACACUACGGGUCUUUUUCCUGAGCAAGGAGGUUCCCAGCAGCUGCUAUAAGUCAGCCCCAAGAGAAAUCCUGGGGUGGUCAUGAUGACCUCCCCUUUCUUUCUUUCUUUUGGAGGGUCCUUAAAGCUAUUGGGAAAUAAUUGGGUGGUUUCCCAAGUGUCUCAAAAGAUAGGGAGUUCCUCUAUUAUAGUUUUUUUUUUCUUUUUGUACUUCUAGAUGGACAAAAUGCCUUUAUUUUUUCUAUCUUUAUGUGGUUCUAAGGAUGGAACCCAGGGCCUCACACAGGCUAGGCAAGCGCUCUGCCACUGAGCCCCAAUCCCAGCCCCCCUACAGGGCCUGGUGACCGGGGAUAACUAUCCUGACAGAAAGGACAAGGUCUCUGCAUGAGGUAAGGCUACUUAGGAGAAGUCUAGUCGUAACUGACAAACUGUGUUUCCAUAAGGAGGGGAAGGAACAUUGCUGAUUCUGUCAUGAUGUGAUGGGCAGGGGAGAGAGGGGAGAAGGAAAAAUUAGUCAAGCUGGGAAUUCAGCCCUGCUAGUUGGGGCUGGGGUCUUCCCCAGCCUCAGAGAGCCACAGAAGUGCCGGACAAUCACCAGUCACUGUCCAGGUCUCAUCAGCCAUUUCACAUGAUUGUCACUAACUUUUGAGUCAUGGUUUUGAUCCUAUCUGAGCCCCCAGUUCUGUUACUGUUUGGGAUGCUGGGUUCGUUGUCUCUGUUCAGCAAGCAAUUGAAGAACUGGACACGGAGCCAGCCAGCAAGCAGCAGGUUAUUGUAAAAGGGACAGAGAGAGACUUUGAAGAGAAGGGGCUCCAGAGCUGGGAGUCUAGUGGGGGAAUUCUGGCCUCUUCUUUUUAUGGCUUUGGAAUUUCCUCCUUUCCUGUCUCCUUCCUGUCCACCUCACUCCCAUUCAUCGGUGUCCCCUGUGACCAUGCUACUAUCUUAGUGUUUUUAUUAGCACCCCUGCAUAGGGCACGAGUACGGAGGUGUCUGUCUGAUUGGGUCCCUGCUUGUGUCCGCGAGCACUUUCGCCCAGCUGGAGGUUGACCUCAUCAGAAGACCCUCUCCAUGCUCCUUUGUUCUGGCCUGGCCCCCCACUUCCUGGCUUGCUGUCCUGCCCUAGCCGCCUACGCCCUUCCCAUCCCCCUCAUUUCUAUGAGACUAGGUGGCUCGGGUCUUGACGGGAGUGGGGGUUACCCAGUGUAUACUUUUGCCAAUGCAUUCAGACCCCUAGGUUCCAGCCAAAUACUUCAUUACCUGCACAUCACUGUGUCUCAACCGUGCGUAGAGUAGAUGUUUAAAACAGGUGAUUUAACAUUGCAAACAGGAGAUCUGUGUCGCGAAUUACCUGGGGACUCUGGGGACCUGGAGCAAGAAGAGCCCUGGUGGAUGGUGUUUUCAUCUUAGACCACCACUUAAUCGUUCAUGUAGGGAUUUUCUGAAAAUGGACAUGAGGUCCAUCCAAUUAAGUCCAUGAAAUAAUUUUGCAAAUGAGUCAGUGUGGUGGCACUGCCCAUAAUCACAGCUACCUGGGAGGCAGGGGCAGGAAGAUCACCUGAGCCCAGAGUUCCAGGGCAGUCUGGGCCACCCAGUGAGAGCCUGUCUCAAAACAACAAUAAUGAUUGUGCAAAUGGACCUCAGUAAACCCCAAGUGUAGGUGGAUUGUACAUGGAGAGCCUCUGACACACCUCUGUGGGGAGCGGUGCUGGUCUGAGUCCUCAGGCCCAGGCCUGGCAGACUGUGACAUGCUGGUUGGGCAGAGGCAUCAGGCAGCACACCAGGUCAGGGGUGCCAGAGGGUUGGAGGAGACUGCAGAUCUCCUGUUAGCUCCGGAAGGGGCCCAGGAAAUGUGGGGUGACUCUGCCCUUCUAAUAAACUGCCCAGACCAAUAAAUCCACCAACAAUCACAGCCAGACCAAGGAGUGGCCUGGCCUCCCCCGAGGCUCUGCCACCUCUCCUCCAGUCCCCUCUAUUCCCUUCCCUCAAGCAGGUGCCCAGGAGGAUGCUCCCUGACCCAAAUCCUUCAUGAUCACAUGCCACCGUCCCUGCCAGGAAGGAGCAACUUCCUGAGCUGAAGGCCUUGCCUUGUUGAUGUGGCCUGGCACGGACCCUGGUUUCCCAAGGCACUCGGCUGGGCCAGCGCCUUGGCACAGAGCUGUUCCCACAGCAAAACCAAACAGAAGCCAUGCUGGAGUGGGAGGGCGCUGGAGAGCCUUCCUUCCAUCUGGCCAAGUCUUGCUGCCCCAAGACCUGCUGCCUUCCCACCCUGCAGAGCCGGGGAGCCCCUAAGCAGGAGGCAGCACUACGGGGGCCCGUCUGGACACCUGGAGGCUUCCCUGUCCACUGAGUCCCUGCCCACCCUGCUCGCUCGGCUGGUCACGUGCAAUGAGGUGUGGAACCCAGCUAGAUGGGAGCCCUCACUCCUCUGUCUCCAGGACCUUCAGGGCACGCGUGCAUGGUCUCACCUCCACGCCACACACCCCACACCCCAGGUCGCACACCCAGACCCCCCACAUCCCUACUGCUUUAGGUAGGAACCAGGUGGGGGCUUCCUGAGCCUCGAGUGCUUCUUGAGCCCCGGGUCAGGGAGAUAUCCAGGGACAUGGUGGACUGUCUCCUCAUCUCAGCUGUGAAUGGUGCACUGGUCUCCACCCGCGAUGCUGCUUUAGGCAACCAGCAGCAAGCUUCUCCCUGUUACUGAGUCUGUCCAGUCCUGCUCCAUCUUGCCGGUGACCACGGUGGCCAGUCACCUUGAGGAAGCAAUGCUCACAGCUAGAAUGUGCAACUGGGUAAAAUACUGAAACUCUUUUGUGCAACUGGGUGUCCCUGCUCCUGAGCCUCUGAAGGACAUGCUCCCUGUGCUCUGGCCCCUCCAGAGCCUCCAGGGACUCAGCAAAGGAGUAAUGUACAAGUGUCCACUAGCAACUCUUUUUGGUUGCCUAGCAGUGCCACAAACCCACCCAGUGUUGGGGACAUGUCACCGCAAAGACCACGCAGAGGCCCAGGGGAGCUGGCUUUCCACACAUCCCCACAGUGGUGACCUGGUCACUUACGGCACAGGCACAGCUGGCCAGGCAGAAGCUGGUUUUCAGGACAGAGUGGGUGGCAAGUGAUGCCUGCCCAGCUCUGGCCUAGGCAGGGGGCUCACAGGUCGGCUGGGAACCUGGUACUUGGCUGCACGAAGCGGGCAGGGUUGCUGGAUUUAGCAAAUAAAGAUACAGGAUGUCCUUGUACCAAAUGGGAAGUCACCAGGUAGAAGACGUCUGCAGAUGUUGCCAAACACACCCUGGAGGAAAGGGAGGCACAAAUCAUUCCCUAUCGAGAACCCCUGGUCCUUGUCAAACCCUUUGUUAGCUGCAACCAAGGGAGCAGACUCUAUGGUCAACCACAAUGGUCUCACGAGGAAGGAGCCUGCUGAGGCAAUGGGACAUUUUGUGCAUCUCUGAACAAUGUCACCAAAACCAUCGCAGAAACAAAGCCCAAGUCAGAAGACUUGCACUUCCCGAUUUCAAAACUAACCUCAAAGCUGCAGCGAUUUGGGGUCUGUUUGGUAUACCAGAACAGACAGACAUAGAUCCCUGGAACAGAACUAAGAGCCCAGAAGUAAAUCCUCACAUUGAUUUUCAACAAGGUGUCAAAACAAGUCGGCAGGGAAAAGGAGGUCUCUAGCCAGCGGUGCAGGUAGCUGUGCGCAUGCUGAGCGGAGGCUGGACCCUGCUCACGCCCCACACGUGUGCACGGUGUGGCAGCCACCAUCACAGAGCCCUCGGGGACAGCAGGCACACAUCCUCAGGACCUCGAACUAGCAGCAGCACCACAAGCACAAGUGACGCAAGGAAAGAGCACGCACAUGAGACUUUCUCGAGGUUAAAAGCCUUGGCGCUUCAAAAGUCACGCUCAAGUGGAAAGACGACCCACGGAGAGGGAGAUUUUGCAGAUCGUGGGUCUGAUCGAGGGCUUGUACCUAGACUGUGUCAUGUAGAGGGCUCCUACCUCUCAGUGAUGGAAGGACAGCCAGGCUUUACUUUAUUUAUGUGGUGCUGAGUAUGAAACCCAGGGCCUUGCGCAUGCCAGGCGAGCACUCUACCCCAAGUCCCAGCCCAGCCCCAGCCAGCUUUUUAGUAGACAAUGGUCUGAAUGGACAUUUCUCCAAAGAAGAUGCACAAUCGACCAAUAAGCCCUUGAAAAUGUGCUCCAUGUCCUGAGCAAGUAGCACAGUCGGCUGACGGCUGGCAGAAGAGAAGCCACAGGAGGCAGGAAAGGGUCUUGGCCUCUUGAAGAGCGGUGGAAUGGGGAGAUGGCAAAACCCACCUUAACAGACUCCUGGCGAUGAAUUCCAGGGGAACGUGGGUCUAAAUGCAACAAGUUUCUCCAAAAAUCCUUUAGAAGAGACUUUGGGGUCACUCCCUCCAGAAGCUCCUGGAAGCUGUCCCUAGGCUUCUCUGGGCUCCUGUGGCUGCUGGCACCUGGCUUACACUGGGCCAGUCCACUCUGGCCCCGUCUCCCCGUGCUUCUCCUGUGUGAGUGUCUGAGCUCCCACUGCCUCUCUUACAGGAAGACUUUCGAUGGCACUCAGGGGCCACCAGGGAGUCUGGGACAAUCUCCUUUGCUCGAAAUCCCUAACUUGAUCACAUCUGCAACGUGGAGCACAGUGCAGCCCGCUAAGGCUGGUGUCACUGUCCUCAGGGAAAUGCACAGGAGAUGCAAAUUACUAUCCCCUACAGUCACCGCACACCCACAGGGAGCGAAAGCCCAAGGGCAACCCGGGCUGGUGGCACCUGGGACCCACCAGAGCUCCCACGCAGCCCUCUGGUAAAGCAGGUCAACCUGCAGGGAUCGCCCUGUGGCGCUGGCUGGCAGGACGGCAGCCGAGCAGUGUGACGAGACCCAGAAGCUCUGGUUCCCGCAGAGAGUCCUCCCAGGCCCUCCAUCAACAGGGGCGUCUGCGUCACUGUCUGCCUCUCGGAGGCUCAGACCAUCCCCUCCAUCCCCUCCAUGGAAGGCAGGGUGGGGAAGACUGUGGGGUGUCUGAGGAUGGCUGCGAAAGGCCCCCGACUUCUGCUUCCCUUGUCAGAAUUCUUGGUCUCAGCGCCCCGGGCCCCGGGCCCCAGGCAAGGAGUCUGACUGCACACGGCUCCCCACUGCCCGGGAGCCUGAGCAGGUGGACCAGCUGAGGGAGGGCGUGCAGUUGAGGCCGCCCUGCACGCCCUCCCUCACACACCUGUGAGUGAAGCAGUCUGUAGGUGCCACGGCUGCCAAAUCACACCCUGUGCUUCCUGGGCAAGGUGGCAGGGAUGGGCGUACCUUCUGCACCCUACCCCAGCUCCUCACCUACACUCCUUGAGUUCAGUAAGCCAGUGAAGUUUGCUGCCAUGAUGUUCUGGGGCGCUUUUUCAGCAGCAGUAGGUAGAACAACACCCAAAGGAGACUCGUGUAAGUUAAUCAAGUGAGAAAUCCAAGAAAGUUUGUAACACCACUAUUUACGCUAACCCCAAGUGGGUGAUGACCUGUCAGCUUUCCUCCCUGUAACCCAAAUACCCAGCAAGAACCACUUAGAGGAGGGAAAGUUUAUUUGGGGCUCAAGUUUUCAAAGUCUCAGUCCAUAGGUGGCUGACUCCGUUGCUCUGGGCCCCAGGUGAGGCCGGACACCAGGGCAGAAGGACCCAGCUAAAGGAGGCUGCUCAGCUCGUGGGGGUCAAGAGGCAGAGAGAGCUCUUCUUCCAGGGACGGUAUCUAGAGGUACUCAGAAUGGUUCAGCGCUUGACAACCGUCGUAGGCUUUCCUACAACACAGCCUCUAACAAAACCAGGCUGUCUCCAACCCCUGGUAACAGAAUUGCUGAUCUUUAUACAAGGAAGUUGGGAAAGCACCAGAAUCUGCAUGUGGUGUGUGCCUGGCAGAUCUCGAGGCUCGUGCUGUAAGACCUGAAAUCCUCAUGAGAUCGUCCAAAACAAAAAAAUAUGUCAGCAGGGCCUAUGGUGGUCCCCUGUGUGCGAAAUGUGUUGGUGAACAGGCUCAAGCGGGCCUUCCUUAUCGAGGAACAGAAAAUCAUUGUGAAAGUGUUGAAGGCACAAGCACAGAGUCAGAAAGCUAAUUUUAAAAAUGAAGCUUCUUUGAGUAAUAAAAAGUCAAAAGGCUUAAAAAAAAAAGCAGCAGAGAGAGGGAAGGGGCCACAGAAAGGUGCACCCUCCCAGGUGACCACUCCUCCAGCCGCACCCCACCUGCCUACAGCCACCACCCAGCUGUAUAAACUAGGACAGACUGCUCAGGUCCUGGCUCUCACCCUCGAAUCGCUCAGCUCUGAAUAUUCCUGCAUUAACAGGAGCUUUCAGGGGACACCUCAUACCCAAACCACAGCACGCCACCAGGGCCCUAAACACCCAUGUCCCUAUCACAGUGACAGUGCACCAGUACCUCUCCAAGGGCCCCAGUCUCACGGCUCCAGCGUGGCCCAAGUCCAGUCUCUCUGAGGCUCAAGGCGAGCUCGUGCCAUGAGCCCCGCAGUGAUCCGUGCCCAGUAGGCACUGGCACAGAAGAAACAUGCCCAGUUCAAAAGUGGGGCUUGGGCAUGGGAAGACGAGAUGGGCCAAAGCUAGAUCACAACCCACAUGGGCGACAGACCCUGCCUUCUUGGGUCUAUGUAAAGCCCAGGGCACGUGGCCAGGCGGGCGCUCUCAGAGGCCUGGCAGCCUCCCUCCGGCCGCGCUGGUGGCAGGGGCUCACCGGCAGCUCUUCUCAGCACAGUCUGCAUCGCUGGCAUCUCUUUGUUCCCGGGUCUCCAUGCCAGCUUUGGUCGCACCCUUUCAUGGGCAGUCUGUGGGGCUCCGGUCACCUGCUGCACUUUGCCGGCCAUGGAAGAAGUCCCCUUGGUUCCCAGAGGAGGGAUAAAGCUCAGGAGCCUGCUUGGUUAUCAGGGGGACCGGCCUGCCAAGCCACCCCAAGCCUGGCCGCCCAGCCUGUGGCAGGUGAGCGCCCGCACCCUCCUGCUCCCAGCCUCCUGCUCCCAGCCUGUGGCAGGUGAGCGCCUGCACCCUCCUGCUCCCAGUCAGAGGCCCCUGGGCACACCACCAGCUCCAGAACCACCCCUUCCUCUGCACCCGGGGACAGGGACAUGGUGACAGGGAACAGCCUAGGCAACAGCCUAGGGAAGGGAGCCGUGCCUCUAAGGUCAGGGACAUGGGGACAGGGGACAGGUGACAGCCUAGGGAAGGGGAGCCAUGCCACUAAAGACAGGGGCCAGGCAUUCACCCCAGAUGGGAGAUCUUGGGGCCACUGUGGGGCUGCCCAGUGUCUGUCCCCACUGCCAGGGCUGAGUCACCACUAGUCCCACCCAGCAGGACUUGGCGGUCGCUGUGGACCAUGCUCCUUCCUUGCCAUCUAAGAUACCGCCAUCGCCCUGGCCUCUCCCCUCAGUGGCAGUUUUUUGGAUGGACUGUCUUGUUUACAGGCCAAUAGAACAUGAAGAGCCCGGGACUGAUGGGAGGAGCUGUCUGCGUCCAGACGUCUGGACCUCGUUGAUUUUCCUUGGAGGCUGAGCGUGGCGGCUUACAGGAAGGGAUGUGAAGUGGGGUGUGGUGGCCGAGUGGAAGCCCUGGGAGAGACUGUGAGCUGCCACCCCGAAAGCCUCGUUCUCCUCCUCCUUAUGACAGGGACGCAAUGUAACCUACCACAGUCCCUUGAUUUCCAGUCUCCUCGUACCUAUGUGGGGACAUGUGACCAAGGUCUGGGCACUGAGGCACAGGCGGUUGUGUGAAAGACUUCUAGGAGAAAAAGGGACAAGCUCUCCUUCCCGCACGCCACCCUGAGGACUAGGAUGCAGGCGUGAGGGCUGGAGCUCAAGAAGUCAAUGGGACCUUGAGAAAGGAGGCCUCGGGCCACAGGGCAGUGGAGCAGAGAUGGCCAGCCCGCAACAGCAGAGCAUUCCCCCGCAAUCGGCCGCCUGACAGUGAGAGAGCAAUUGUCUUCUCUUUACAGGUCACAGAUAUGUUGAGUUCUUUGUCACAUGUUCUUGACUUGCCUCUAAACGGUCCACCAUGAAUUGUCGGAUUCAGGAGCCCCCCAAAUAUAGGGCAGCAGAAAUAAGAGAGACUUCAUGGUAGAACUGCGGAAACCCAGGGACCGAGAUCCUAAGGGCAGACGGGCAGAGUGACAAAGUUGACUUCUCCACUAAAAGUCAGUGAGAACAGCGGUGGUUUGAACAAGCAAGUCUGCACUUGUUGGAACCCCACAACCUCCGUGUAGGAAAAGACUCUUUCCAAGGACUCCAAACAUGGGGGUGGGAAGGAGAGAAGGAAUCGAAUGUCCCCCAGGUGCGAAUCUGACUACGUGACCCGUGGAUGCACAUCUCAACAACCAGAAGCCUGUGCAGCUAUACUCCAUUCAUGUUUGAGGUGUCAAAGUGCAUUCUACUGUCAUGUAGAGCUCAUUAGAGCAACUUUUUAAAAAUUUAAAAGAAAAUCAAAAAACCUCAAGAUAGUUUUUCAGGUCUGCUGGACUGGUGGGUGUUGGGAGUCUCCCUGAGAACUCCCUGGGCCUUUCAGACAUGGCGGCAGGCAAAUUGCCAGUGGGUGGAUAACAAGUUAUUUUGAAAAUUUUCUAAUUGGCCCUCCCGUCUUCCACACUCGUGAACAGUUCGUGAUCCCCAUGAAUCUUAUGCAGGGCGGACGUGUGUGCACCGUAGGUGAUGGCCUGACCUUUACUAUGAUUGGCCUGGGGAGCUUCCUGGUUUAAGAUAACUGACUCUCACUUUCUAUAUAAGCUAGCACCAGCUUGCAAUAAGGUGCUUCAUCUUUGUCACUGCUAUCUGUGUGUGUGUUUUAAUCUCCGACGACGAGCCUUGGUCUUUCAGUGAGCAAAGUCUAAA
rnacentral:lncRNA from 1 species